rnacentral:lncRNA from 1 species
GCUUGGUAGAGGGCUGUGCACACAGGGGUCUGCUCAGCUGUGGAGGGGAGCUUCAUUUCCAAAGGAUUCAUUCAAUACCCCUCUAGUAAACAGGAAGAUGUCUGAUGAUUUUUGCAUCCUUUAACAAGUUUUCAGUGUCUCCUUGUUCCUGACGUUAGAACAAUUUUCGUUGGUGUUCCCUUUGCUGCUAUUAGCUUAAAGCCUUUCUUUCUCGCUCUCCCUGUAAAAAAAUCAGGUUUUGCUGUGUAAAGCACAACUUCAGACUUCCUCUCCUUUAUCUAUAAGGCAAACACGAAGCACUAGGAAGAAUGAGGCUCCUAUUUCCCCACCUGUGAAAGUUUAGUGAACUUGACUGCUGGUGGCUGGCCUGAAAAAGUGAGGGUGUCUGGGUGCGGGUGCAGGGAAAUGAUGGGAUGAGGCCCAUGUGCACGGCAUGAAUGUGAGCGUCUUGCCUGAGGAGCUUAUAAAGGCUUCUCCUGGGGUGGGUGGGUUGCUGAAGGUGUGGGCCUUGCUCAUGAGGGGUGUGGGGGUGUCAGGAGUUGGCUGUGUGUUGCACAUACUGAGGUUAGCUUCUCUGGGGAGUGUUAAUCACAGUCAUCUCGUGUUCCUGUGCAGCUUGAGCUGGAUAUCAGCCAAGCUCAAACUGAACCACUUCGGGCUUUGGGAAAAUGUAAAGUGAGCACAUGCAUUCAUUAAGGAAGAACAGCCUUUCCUCGGGAAGAAAGGGACCUGGAGCACAUGGUGUUAAAUAUCUGACCUGAAUAGAUGUAAAUGUCAAGUCUACCUCAUGCUCUCCUCAAGUCAGAAGUUUAAUGCAAGGUGAUGCCAUUUAUAGAUUUUUUUAAAAAUUGUAUCACUACUGUAUAUAGCUGUCAUUAUGCACAUCGGUCAUAUAUUCUUGACUUCACACCAUGCAAAAAGCAGCCUUUUUAGGGAGGAAUACGGGGGUACUUUGAGAGGGAGCAGCAGGAGUGGGGCUGCUCCAUGAAGGACGGCAGUCCAGAAGCCAAGGGUGGCCAUGCACAGGUAGGGGCAGUGACCUUAUCCAUGAGGGCACAACCCCACAGCACCAUUCAGAACAGGGCUGAGGACAGUGGCAUGUCCUGUUAACAGCCCGGUGAUCAUCAGAGAAAUAAGGUGAUGGGCUGGGUCUCAGGUCAAGCCAGGAAGUCCAGUUAUCCAGCCAGGAUCAGAGCUGAGCAGACACCGGUUUGCCUGCAGCACGGCUCGGGUGAGGACUGUUGUAGAGGCCCCAUCCAAGGCUGCUCAGGGUGUUUAGGGACUGCUGGUACUCUCAGGGCCAUGAGUAUAUGUGGCAAUAACAGAGGCCAGGAAGACUAUUUCCUGAUCAGGUAGUGGGGUCGUCAGCUGGCAUCAGUUUUGCUUUGGUAGCAUCAUACAGCUAAUGUGCGGGACUGAACUAUUGAUGCUCACAAAAAAUACUUGUGGCAACAGAUUUGUAAGUACAUUUAAUAAAUGAAGGGAGAAAUAAUUAAAAUGAGCGUAU